GACAGCAUGGCAUAGUGGUUUGAGUGUUGGACUGAGACUCUGGAGACCCAGGCUCAAUUCCCUGCUCAGUCA